rnacentral:rRNA from 1 species
AGGACGAACGCUGGCGGCGUGCUUAACACAUGCAAGUCGAGCGGAAAGGCCCUUCGGGGUACUCGAGCGGCGAACGGGUGAGUAACACGUGAGUAAUCUGCCCCUAGCUCUGGGAUAGCUCCGGGAAACCGGGAUUAAUACCGGAUAUGACCACUUUAGACAUCUGCUGUGGUGGAAAGAAUUUCGGCUAGGGAUGAGCUCGCGGCCUAUCAGCUUGUUGGUGGGGUAACGGCCUACCAAGGCGACGACGGGUAGCCGGCCUGAGAGGGCGACCGGCCACACUGGGACUGAGACACGGCCCAGACUCCUACGGGAGGCAGCAGUGGGGAAUAUUGCGCAAUGGGCGAAAGCCUGACGCAGCGACGCCGCGUGGGGGAUGAAGGCCUUCGGGUUGUAACCCCUUUCAGCAGGACGAAGCGAAAGUGACGGUACCUGCAGAAGAAGCGCCGGCUAACUACGUGCCAGCAGCCGC